GAGGGUUGUUCCAUUCCAGGAUUUAGCUUGUAAUUAUCCGCACAGGUUUCGUUCCUCGUUGUACUUUGAAGAUAUCUCCAAUUUUGUUGAAGAUCUGUCCUAUUCACAGAGCUCAUUUUCUCAAACUAAUCUGAAACAAGUGAAUAGAUGAAUGAAGAUCUGACGGAACUCCAAGAUUUCAAGUGUUAAUUUCAGGCGUGAAAUCGUGGCCUUUUUUUGGUGAGUCACACAAAGUAUUUGCAGGACCAUGAGGAGAAAUCCAGUUCAUUAAAAUUUCAUAUUUCUCCUCCUGAUUCCAUCCAAAAUUUGCCCAGUUUUACCACUGCUCGAUAUUUCUGGGAUUCGAUCCAACGGACCUUGGAGUAUUGUGAAUUGCAAGCGAAUAAUCAACUUCUGCGCCACGACUAUACCCUACUAAGGUCGGAUUGUUAUUAUAGCUUUUAUUGUCUAAGGUACAGUACACUAACACAAAGUGUUUUAGUUAACUCUAUUAAAGAACAAGGCUACGACGAUGGACUAGUUGCCACAUAUUUUGGGUUUUCUCUUGGGGCCAGCUAUGUGAGAUAAUAUAUUUUGCAGAAAGAGGUAUUAUUCACUUUCAGCAACUUUCCGUCCUCAAUCGUUAGGCACCAAAUUUGGAUUAACGGAGCACCAAUAGACAGCAUUUUCCAAGGUAGCUCUUGAUUGAGGUCACAACCUUCAUGAGGCUCAGAACUGAUAUCUCUUGUCACUCAAACAAUCGACCAUUGGCGCCAUUUUCCGUUCUUUUUCAUUGCUUGAUGAUUUCUCAUUGGCCGCACAGACAAACAUCGACAUGAUUGACGAGGAGGGUGGGCAAAGAUCAUUCUUAAAGAAAAGGCCCCAUUGAUUCUAAAGUGUGCCGAACUCACCUACUUGCGUUUAUGGUCUUUUCUUAUAAAGCGAAAAUGUUUCCGUUCCAUCUAAAGCUCUGGCUCCAUUGAGCCAAGGGAUGUUCCCAAGAGUGAGAUAGUUUUGUCGGAUAUGGAUACAAAAUAAACUCCAUCUUCAUUGUUAGAGAACACCAAACCCUUAGAUGGCGCUCCCUACAUUUACUGAAGAAUCGCCUCACAAUCUCACCAUCAACUAGUUUUACUGUAAUCGCCGAGUCAGUUACAACUUACACGCGGCCGACCAAUUUUGGACCUAACUUUGUGACUAACCAGAGGCCUGUUUUUUUAAAGCUAUUACUUCGGAGGCAGAGGCUUGGACGUUAACCGGUAUGAAAAUACACUGCCAAAAAUACUGAGCGGAUGCUCAUUGUGGGUAACGUUCAAGAACUCGCUUGGUGCUCACACAUACCAUUUCAAAUAGAAACGCAUCACUCCGACUACGAGGAGAGCUCCCAAAAUCAACAUGCCAAAGGCCAACCCUGCCAUUGCACCUGAAGGCCAAAAAGAAGAAACAAAGAAUGUAUAUUGAUAGAAAUAAGCCAAUUGCCAAGACCGAAAGGUAAAUUUCUUCGAUUGUGCGUUUGUCUUCCAAGUAUAUAGCAAAUGAAUGAGAGCCACAGGUGGUGAAAGCGACAAUUUGUAUGUUGGACAUUCUUUGAGGCUUCCUUCAUAAAAGAAUACAUCCCCAGACACUCACAAACAACUCCAUCUUACCCGGAGAAUAUCUCUUCUUGCUUCCAUCAUUUGAAUUACCAUCAGCUCGAUCCACAGCUUCGAACACGUUCGAAUCAGCCCGAGCACUGACCACUUGUCCUGACUAAGUAGCCAAAAAGAUGCUUUUUAAGUCAGAAGACACGAAUUGCUUUAGAUUCUACCCAAACAGUACCUUGUCUUCCAUAACAGGGAUCUCAAUCACGAACUUGUCGUCUUGAAUAUAUUGGCGUAGAUUCUCGACGGCCGAUGAAAGCGGUAAGGUGACCUCUGGAGGCAGAUCGUCACUGGGUUCUCCAAAUUCAUCUCUGGGGUAAU